rnacentral:lncRNA from 1 species
ACUCUGCCGGUUUUGCUGCGGAAGUCACCUCGUGGCGUAGGGGAGAGGUAACACCGAGAAGAGGCAGCGGCGGUGGCGCCAAGACGAUUGGUGCCAAACAGGGCAGAACGCAACUCAGCUCUGGGUUUGUGAAUAGCACAAUGGAAGAAGCUGGACUUUGUGGGUUAAGAGAGAAAGCAGAUAUGUUGUGUAACUCUGAAUCACAUGAUAUUCUUCAACAUCAAGACUCAAAUUGCAGUGCCACAAGUAAUAAACAUUUAUUGGAAGAUGAAGAAGGCCGUGACUUUAUAACAAAGAACAGGAGUUGGGUGAGCCCAGUGCACUGCACACAAGAGUCAAGAAGGGAGCUUCCUGAGCAAGAAGUAGCCCCUCCGUCUGGUCAGCAAGCUUUACAAUGCAACAGGAACAAAGAAAAAGUCUUAGGAAAAGAAGUUUUAUUAUUGAUGCAAGCCCUAAACACUCUUUCGACUCCAGAGGAGAAGCUGGCAGCUCUCUGUAAGAAAUAUGCUGAUCUUGGAAAUUCACCUCUUCUAUAGAAGAGUUUGUUUUGAACUAUACGAUUUGAAACAAAAUUCUUUUUUUGGAGACUAUGGAAACAUUCUCAACAGGGAAACCCUACUAGACUUUGUAAAGCAAAUAAUGGAAAAGAUACAGAACUUUUUGAAGAAUCAUGGGAAAUUUUUAUAAUUAAAUAAAUGCUAAAAUUCUGUUUUGUGAAACAUUUAUGGGAAUUAUCACUGACAGUUUUUGUACACUUUCAAAUAGUGUUAAAGCAGCAACUCCAUGUUGUAAAUGCACAAAACAAAUAUUUAGUUAAUAAUCAACUCCAAGAAUAAAGCUGUAACAAUAAUAGUUA